AUCAUCAACGGAGGAGGUGCCAUCAGUUUCCCUUUCACCCCACAGAUGCAGUGUCAGACUUCAUCAGGACUUGAAACGUCUCGCUCAGCCUCAUCCUCGUCAGAAUACACAUCAGUCUUCACUGCCCAUUCCUCCCUCAACAUCUUCAUCAUCUUGUCAUCGUAUUCUCCCACCCACUCACUGUCAACUCCUCCCUCGACGUACAGAUGAAUUGAUCUUCUUUUAGAUGCUAGCUGCACCAUUCCCUUCACUUGCUCAUCACUCUUGAUCUCUGUGAGCAAGUUGCAGUAUUCACCAGGUCUCUCGUACCACAUUCUCUUUAGACGAAAACCAAAGCCUUUAAUGUCAGCAAUGUCACUGAAUCAGGAGUGACAUUUUUGUUUUCCCUCUUUAUUC
rnacentral:lncRNA from 1 species